GUGUCAGCCGCCGCGGUAAUACGUAGGUGGCUAGCGUUAUUCGGAAUUAUUGGGCGUAAAGGGCGCGUAGGUGGUCAUGCAAGUCAAACGUGAAAGCCUUUGGCUCAACCAGAGAAUUGCGUUUGAAACUGCAUGACUUGAGUUCGGGAGAGGAAAGUGGAAUUCCCAGUGUAGCGGUGAAAUGCGUAGAUAUUGGGAGGAACACCUGUGGCGAAGGCGACUUUCUGGACCGACACUGACACUGAGGCGCGAAAGCUAGGGGAGCAAACGGGAUUAGAUCCCCGCGUAGUCC
rnacentral:rRNA from 1 species